rnacentral:lncRNA from 1 species
UCGACUAGCCAGAAGUAUGGGAGUAAUUUAGCAAGAGGAAGGAUAAUAAGACCAAUGCUAUCUCAAGCGGGAGGUAGAGGAAGCCUCAAGCAAGAAGAAAUCAACCAUCCCGUCAACAUCAUCAUCAUCAAGUAUCUUUCGUCAUUCCAGUAUUUUCAAAUCAGAAAACAACACCAAUUCAAUAACAACAACAACAUCAAUACCAAAAUCAACGUCAACAACAACAACCGCAACAAAGAACGAACACCUACAACAAUAACAAUUCCAACAACAAUCAUC